GGCGCUCCCUACCAACUAUUUUUCCAGGCUCCACUCGUGGAUCAUAUCUUUUAUCUCUCUCCUUCGUUCUUCUUCCUUCCUCCUGUUUGUGUAUUUUUUGAUGUUCGUAAGUCAACAAUUGGUGCUCUAACUUGAAAAGAAUAUAAGCGAUACCAGAAGCUGCAAACAUGCUUUCCCAUAUAAGGAAAAAGUGGACAAGCCUUUGGAGGGAUAGAGAACUUUUACUAUAUUAAAGGAUGAAAGGAGUAUUUAUAUGUCUUAAAAAGGAAUAUUUUUCUCAUAAGAGGUGCAGGUUUCCAUCACUUAUCCCCUUAUAUUCUUAUAGCGUAAUGGUUGAUCUCUCUCAUAACCUUUAUUUUUCGCCAUUUCAAAAGUCUUGUUUUCUGUUGAUGCUGCUAAUAGUUAGAAAGCUAAAUGCAGCUAAAUAUUUCUUGCAGAGUAACAUAAACACUUAUUCGUGGAUGCGAUCUGCAGCAAAUAUUUUCAGUUAAAUGUUUUUAAUGAUAUCUAUUCUUUGUAUUACAUAACCUUGGUAGAUUCUUUUUUUUUUUAGUAUUUUGACCUUGUCAAGGUAGAAGCUACUUAAAUAUAAAAAUCUAACUGAGUUAAUUUCUCACUUCAGUAUAGGCAUCUGCUCAGUUGAAAAAAAAUGCCAAAUAUAGUUGUUCGUCUACCUACAAUACUAGGUAUUUUGAAGUUAUCAUGACUCAUAAGCAUGGAUGGAACUAAUCAAUUGAAUCUUUUGAUGCUCAAAAUCUGAAGAUAUCUCAUGUCUUAAAGAUUUUGGAGAAAUAUAAUACUAUUAUAAAGGUUGAUGUAACUACUAUCAAAAGCCUUGCAUUUGAAACUAAUUCAGAAUCUUUGUUAUCCUGGUAAUGAAGUAGUGAGAUGAAAGCUUAUUAAAGAGAUUGACACUCUUAUGAAUAUAUCCUGAGCAUUAUGCUCGAUAUCUCCUUUGAAAGGAUAGAAAAAUCUUUGAAACAAUAGUUGAUUCCUUUAGUUGCUUUCAAGAGAAACUGUUUAAGCUAUGCAUUUCAUUCAUCCAUUGCUGAUGGAAGUGGUAAAAGUGCAUUCACUCGAAAAAGAAUGUAAGAUAAUGUUGCAUUAGCAUCUUAAGAUGAAUACUUUAUACAUAGAACUGGGGCAUUCUAAUCCCUUAAACAAAGAACAACAUUCCAAAAAAAAAUCACCUCCAAAGAGAGUCACUACCAUAUGUCGCAUCAUGAAAGUGAUGAAAUUACUCUGAUCUCUAAAAUUCUUUUAAUGGUGUACAAAUGAGGAAUUUUUUGGGAAUUCCUGAAGUCUAUUAUUGCUUGCCUUUCUAUUCAAAGUUUCCAAAAAUUUCAUAGUUAAUUGAAAUUUCUAGAGGUAUAAUAUUUAGAAUGUUUUUAAAAUAAAAGUCAAACUGAUCUUUUUUAGGAAAACCUUGAUUACCUGGUGCCUUUUGAAGUCUUUUAGUACCCUACUUUUGUGUUUUUCCUUUGUGGCUUACCCUUUGAAAACCCAAUCAACCACAGUUCUAUUUGUUCUACUACUUCUCUUAUGUCUCUUUAUUACCUCUUUACUCGAGCACACACAUGUGCUGCCUCUCAAUUUCUUUGAUUGUUCUUCCUACUUCAUAAUAUAUAUCUUUUUUAUUUUUUGCACUUUCAGUUCAUAGUAUAUUCAUUUCAAAUGUAUGUAAAAAUUCGGCUUCCCAUUGAUAAGAAUACCCAUCAUCUCUUCUUCCCUCUUUCGUUCUUGCUCAGUAGCAUUUUUUUUGUAUGAUUGCCUUAUCUAUCUCCUUGAUUUUUGGUUAGUAUUAUUACUCUUUCAGUCUUUCUGGCUUUGGCUUAUUAGUUUUUUCUUCCUGCUUUUUUCGCUAAUUCUGCUCACACAUGGACUUGUGGCUAACUGUUCUUAGUGAAUUUGAUUUUAGAGAUUUGAUCAUAUUACAAUAGUGUCAAUGUUACAAUUAUUGCAUCAUAUGCAAAUCACAUCUUUUUGUACUUGCUAACAUCUUCAUUUCGGUUCUCUUUUUUCCGUUUUUAUUCAUCGUGGCCCUGGGAUUAAGGAUAAGGCAUGCGCUAAAAUGCAAAAUUUUCUAAUGAAAUUGUUUUGUAUAUUCAGUUUACUAAUGGUUUAUGAUAUGAGCAUCUAUAGCCUCAGCUUUGCAUUCACACCAACAGUUUUGCUCAUAAUUUCUGUGCUUCUUUCGUUUCAUUGUGGCAUCAACUUAGUGGAACCUUACAUUAAAAAGGUCAUACAUUCUAAACAGUUCUAUUGGUUAAAUAUGUCUGCCUGUAGGAAAGAUUGGUCUUGUCGCCAAUAUCAGUUAUGAAUGCUUUAUUGUUGACCUUUAUUGAACUAUAAAAUUUCAGAAAGCAGAGAUUUUUGUUUUAUCUGUUUCUAAUUUUUGCAGGGUGGAAAAAGUACGACAGAGAAUUGUCAGGUUUUCCAAAUGUGACUUCUUACAUACUAAACAUAUCUGUUUAUGCUUUAUAUGGAGUACUCCAAAAAUUCUAGCUGCAUUUUGGCAUACUUAUGGUUGCCCUAUUGUUUCCUGAUUCAGUUGAAUCAUUUUUAUAGUAAUCUACACAUAAGUAUGGGUUGCUUUAGAAAAGAAGAUCCAAUUCUAAGCUAAACUAAUCUCUUCUAUUAAGCAAUAUGAAGAGUUGUAUUAUCCAAUAGGAAAGUUGCCAUUUCUAAACAUGUUUCACACCCUAUUCUAGGAAUCUUCCAUUUUAUUCUAUUCUUUUUUCUUUUUCUUUUUUACUUUUGAAAUUUGACUUAUCCUUUUUGUUUUCGUUAACUUUAUAUCAGGCAUAACUCUGGUAUUCCAGGUUUUAGUCUCUCUUCUACUUGUUCUUUCUACUUUUCCAAUUAAAAUUUCAUAAUCUUUGGUGUUUGAAAAUUUUCGAAUGUCACCCGAAGGAAAAUAAAUCAAAUUUGUCAAUGAUAUUGGUUUUGAAACUUUAUAUAUUUAUAUAGUUCACCUGAAUAACUCUUGCUUCAGAUUGUAACUUUCAGCGUGGUGAGGGGAUGAUCUUCAGGUGUAUAAUAUGGGAGCAGCUUUCUCAUAUUUCAUCCAUUGGAAGCCCCAAACCAAAUUGUUACUUACAACUUACAAGUUACUCCUAUUGAAAUUUCUUUUGUAAUUUUCUGGUUCAUACUCAUUGCCUUCGAUGUCUCAUCUAAUAUUCAAAUUCAAUGUUGUCAUGCACGUCGACUUGGAGCUUUUGCAUGUGCACAUUACGUUCUCAUUGUACCUUCUCUUUUGUUCCUUUUGGCUACAGAGAUGAAACCUAAUCAAAUAAACCUCCUCCACUGUAGGCAUGAAAAUAUUCCAAACUCCCAUUAUUGUAAACCUAAGACCUCGACUUAUUUAUCACCAUAUAUUCUUUGAUGAGUUUGAUUUA